rnacentral:rRNA from 1 species
AAAUGACUCUCGGCAACGGAUAUCUCGGCUCUUGCAUCGAUGAAGAACGUAGCGAAAUGCGAUACUUGGUGUGAAUUGCAGAAUCCCGUGAACCAUCGAGUCUUUGAACGCAAGUUGCGCCUGAAGCCAUUAGGCUGAGGGCACGCCUGCCUGGGUGUCACAAAUCGUUGCCCCAACGCCAAUGCCUGA